rnacentral:piRNA from 1 species
UCUGAAUCAGAAUCCCUGCAAGGAGGAC